UCUGAAAUUCUAGAUUAGCCUUGAUGUGGCUGAGUUGGUUGUUCAUGACUCCGUAGAAGAUUGGGGAGAUGGGGGAAUUAUGCAUUGUCUAAAGGUAGAAAUGAGCUCUCGUCCAGAAUGCAUACCCAGUUUUUUGGAGCUCCUGAAGAUUUGGCCCGAGGUACUCUUCUUCGGGUUUAAGAUUGAAGGACAUUACCUUCUUUCCUCUAAGUAUUCGAACAAGAAGACCCGUAGUGCCUUUAUUUUUACGGUUUUUGCUAUUCGAAGAUAUUUUGCUCUUUCUGCCGGCCACGGUCAUGUCAGAGUGUCACGGUAGAGACACUUUACUAGACUUUAGUACUUAUUGUGCUUCUGUCAGGAUAAGGAUUGUAUCUUGUAUUCCUAUACUAGAUUAGCUCCCGUGCGAUGCACGGUUUUAACCAAAAUUCUUUGUUAAGAUUUGUAUAAGAAGAUAUAUCAUCUACAUGCAUUGUUAAUUGUUAGUUGUUAAUAUUCUUAUUGAA